GUGACUAUAGCUCAGUUGGUAGAGCCCCGGAUUGUGAUUCCGGUUGUCGUGGGUUCGAGCCCCAUUAGUCACCCCA
rnacentral:tRNA from 2 species